rnacentral:rRNA from 1 species
CCUACGGGUGGCUGCAGUAAGGAAUAUUGGUCAAUGGACGAAAGUCUGAACCAGCCAUGCCGCGUGGAGGAUGAAGGUCCUCUGGAUUGUAAACUUCUUUUAUAUGUGACGAAAAAAGGCCUUUCCAGGUCGUCUGACGGUACCAUAUGAAUAAGCACCGGCUAACUCCGUGCCAGCAGCCGCGGUAAUACGGAGGGUGCAAGCGUUAUCCGGAUUCACUGGUGCGUAAGUGUGUGUGUAAGUCUGUGGAGAAAUCCCCGAGCUUAACUUGGGAACGGCCAUUGAUACUAUCAGUCUUGAAUACCGUGGAGGUCAGCGGAAUAUGUCAUGUAGCGGUGAAAUGCUUAGAUAUGACAUAGAACACCAAUUGCGAAGGCAGCUGGCUACACGAGUAUUGACACUGAGGCACGAAAGCGUGGGGAUCAAACAGGAUUAGAUACCCCAGUAGUC